rnacentral:rRNA from 1 species
CCUACGGGAGGCAGCAGUGAGGAAUAUUGGUCAAUGGCCGGGAGGCUGAACCAGCCAAGUCGCGUGAGGGACGACUGCCCUAUGGGUUGUAAACCUCUUUUAUAUGGGAAGAAAAAAUGCUACGUGUAGCAUUCUGCCUGUACCUUAUGAAUAAGCAUCGGCUAACUCCGUGCCAGCAGCCGCGGUAAUACGGAGGAUGCGAGCGUUAUCCGGAUUUAUUGGGUUUAAAGGGUGCGUAGGCCGGUUUUUAAGUCAGUUGGGAAAGCGCGCGGCUCAACCGUGGAAUUGCAGUUGAAACUGGAGGCCUUGAGUGCACACAGGGAUGGCGGAAUACAUGGUGUAGCGGUGAAAUGCUUAGAUAUCAUGAAGAACUCCGAUCGCGAAGGCAAGUGUCCAGGGUGCAACUGACGCUGAGGCUCGAGAGUGUGGGUAGCAAACAGGAUUAGAUACCCUUGUAGUC